UACGUAGGUGACAAGCGUUGUCCGGAUUUACUGGGCGUAAAGAGCGCGCAGGCGGUCGUUCAAGUCGAGUGUGAAAGCCCCCGGCUCAACUGGGGAGGGUCACUCGAUACUGAUCGACUCGAAGGCAGGAGAGGGAAGUGGAAUUCCCGGUGUAGUGGUGAAAUGCGUAGAUAUCGGGAGGAACACCAGUGGCGAAGGCGGCUACCUGGACCGGUUCUGACGCUGAUGCGCGAAAGCGUGGGUAGCAAACAGG
rnacentral:rRNA from 1 species